AACAUUGAAAAUAAGAAAUAAAAAAAGAUACAUAUAAACAUGGAUCAUUACAGUCAUGUAAAUUUACACUAGAGAGAAGUCAUUACUUUAUUACAAAACUAUAUCUAAAACCUCUCCUCAUAAACAACCUAUUGAGUAAGAGAGAAGGGACCAAGAUUUUAUCAAACUUUAAACGGAUUGUAUGUUAGAGAUUUGAUCAGGAGAAUCCUUACACAAUCCGCGUUUCAGGGAUGAACAGAUCAGACACCUGAGGACGAUGAAGAAAACCUGUAUUUCACCACCAACAAUCAGUCAAAUAAACUGAAAGAAUGAGUUUUUACUUAAUCAUUUGUCCAAAUGAAUUGUCUUGAAAGUAAACAAAAAAAAAAAGAUAACAAGAAAGAAAGAACGAAAGAAAGAAUGUGCCUUGUUUUACGUUCUAUAAACCAUUUGUCUAGCAAAUUAUCUCAGAUUGUCUGACAAAUUAUCUUCGAUCUUCGAUAUGCCACUCUAUUUUCUUUGAUGGUGUUUUCAAUUAUCUUACAAUUUAUCUCAGAAGCUCAAGUUGGACCACAUCUCCAAUUAUUUUCUUUCUUUCAGGAACAAAGUUGCAACUUUUGUUCUAUGGCCUGUGAAAAUUCGAUUUUGUGAGCACAUAGGCUUAUACAAAUUUUCUCCACUCAAUAAUUUGAGGACAACUUGGUAUGACACAUAGGUUUAUACAAGUCAAUGUCGAUUUCCUAGUCAAUCUCUGCCAAACUCUUAGACCAUAAAAUUAAAAGAACUAGUGACAAGUUUCACCAGAACAAGUGACUAAUUCCAAAACUGAAAACAAGUGUCAUUAGAAACAAGUGACUAAUCAAAAAAAAAAAUCAGUAAUAAAUAUUACCAAUAACAAAUGUCAAAUAUCACGAGAGACAUCCCAAAAUCUUCUUGUAAUUCCUUUACUCAUCCCAUCAUAGAACAUAUUCCAUGAUGACUUCUUGAGACAGACUUUUGUUGCGUUAUUGUAAGCCUAAAAGCGCUUUAAAAUCAUGAGCUACAAAAAAAAAACACUUUCUAUGAAACGAAUGUUACCAGAAAUUAGGAGAAUAGGGGUAUGAAAGUCUCUUCUAAUGCCCGAGGAAAGCAUCUCCUUUGAUAUCCUCAAACUCUCUUUUUUUUGUUUUUGGCUGCUGCUUUGAUAUCCUCACACUUUCCUUCUUUGUUUUUGGCUGCUUGUUGC
rnacentral:lncRNA from 1 species